UACGGGGGGGGUAAGCGUUGUUCGGAAUUACUGGCGUAAAGGGCUCGUAGGCGGCCAACUAAGUCAGACGUGAAAUCCCUCAGCUUAACUGGGGAACUGCGUCUGAUACUGGAUGGCUUGGAUUUGGGAGAGGGAUGCGGAAUUCCAGGUGUAGCGGUGAAAUGCGUAGAUAUCUGGAGGAACACCGGUGGCGAAGGCGGCAUCCUGGACCAAUUCUGACGCUGAGGAGCGAAAGCCAGGGGAGCAAAGCGGG
rnacentral:rRNA from 1 species